rnacentral:rRNA from 1 species
UACGGAGGGUGCGAGCGUUGUCCGGAAUCAUUGGGCGUAAAGCGCGUGUAGGCGGCUUGGCAAGUCGGUUGUGAAAGCCCGGGGCCCAACCCCGGAACUGCAUCUGAAACUGCCUGGCUAGAGUCCCGGAGAGGAAGGCAGAAUUCCCGGUGUAGGGGUGAAAUCCGUAGAUAUCGGGAGGAAUACCAGCGGCGAAGGCGGCCUUCUGGACGGUGACUGACGCUGAGACGCGAAAGCGUGGGGAGCAAACAGG